rnacentral:rRNA from 1 species
CCUACGGGAGGCAGCAGUGGGGAAUUUUGGACAAUGGGGGAAACCCUGAUCCAGCCAUUCCGCGUGAGUGAAGAAGGCCUUCGGGUUGUAAAGCUCUUUCGUGAGGGAAGAAAUUUUAUUGUCGAAUAAACAGUAAAGAUGACGGUACCUUAAGAAGAAGCACCGGCUAACUACGUGCCAGCAGCCGCGGUAAUACGUAGGGUGCGAGCGUUAAUCGGAAUUACUGGGCGUAAAGCGUGCGCAGGCGGUCUUAUAAGUCAGAUGUGAAAUCCCCGAGCUCAACUUGGGAACUGCGUUUGAAACUGUAAGACUAGAGUGUGUCAGAGGGAGGUAGAAUUCCACGUGUAGCAGUGAAAUGCGUAGAGAUGUGGAGGAAUACCAAUGGCGAAGGCAGCCUCCUGGGAUAACACUGACGCUCAUGCACGAAAGCGUGGGGAGCAAACAGGAUUAGAUACCCUGGUAGUCCACGCCCUAAACGAUGUCUACUAGUUGUUGGUGGAGUAAAAUCCAUGAGUAACGCAGCUAACGCGUGAAGUAGACCGCCUGGGGAGUACGGUCGCAAGAUUAAAACUCAAAGGAAUUGACGG